GAUGAACGCUGGCGGCGUGCCUAAUACAUGCCAGUCGAGCGAACGGACGAGAAGCUUGCUUCUCUGAUGUUAGCGGCGCACGGGUGAGUAACACGUGGAUAACCUACCUAUAAGACUGGGAUAACUUCGGGAAACCGGAGCUAAUACCGGAUAAUAUUUUGAACCGCAUGGUUCAAAAGUGAAAGACGGUCUUGCUGUCACUUAUAGAUGGAUCCGCGCUGCAUUAGCUAGUUGGUAAGGUAACGGCUUACCAAGGCAACGAUGCAUAGCCGACCUGAGAGGGUGAUCGGCCACACUGGAACUGAGACACGGUCCAGACUCCUACGGGAGGCAGCAGUAGGGAAUCUUCCGCAAUGGGCGAAAGCCUGACGGAGCAACGCCGCGUGAGUGAUGAAGGUCUUCGGAUCGUAAAACUCUGUUAUUAGGGAAGAACAUAUGUGUAAGUAACUGUGCACAUCUUGACGGUACCUAAUCAGAAAGCCACGGCUAACUACGUG
rnacentral:rRNA from 1 species